rnacentral:rRNA from 1 species
GAUGAACGCUAGCUACAGGCUUAACACAUGCAAGUCGAGGGGAAACGACAUCGAAAGCUUGCUAUUGAUGGGCGUCGACCGGCGCACGGGUGAGUAACGCGUAUCCAACCUGCCCACCACUUGGGGAUAACCUUGCGAAAGUAAGACUAAUACCCAAUGACGUCUCUAGAAGACAUCUGAAGGAGAUUAAAGAUUUAUCGGUGAUGGAUGGGGAUGCGUCUGAUUAGCUUGUUGGCGGGGUAACGGCCCACCAAGGCGACGAUCAGUAGGGGUUCUGAGAGGAAGGUCCCCCACCUUGGAACUGAGACACGGUCCAAACUCCUACGGGAGGCAGCAGUGAGGAAUAUUGGUCAAUGGGCGAGAGCCUGAACCAGCCAAGUAGCGUGCAGGAUGACGGCCCUAUGGGUUGUAAACUGCUUUUAUAAGGGAAUAAAGUGAGUCUCGUGAGACUUUUUGCAUGUACCUUAUGAAUAAGGACCGGCUAAUUUCGUGCCAGCCGCCGCCGUAA